GGGGAGUAAUGUAUAAGUAACCUGCCUAUCAGAGGGGAACAACAGUUGGAAACGACUGCUAAUACUGCAUAUGCCAUAAGAGCCACAUGGUUCAAGUGGGAAAGGAGCAAUCCGCUGAUAGAUGGACUUAUAUCUGAUUAGCUAGUUGGUGUGGUAACGGCAUACCAAGGCGAUGAUCAGUAGCCGAACUGAGAGGUUAAUCGGCCACAUUGGGACUGAGAUACGGCCCAGACUCCUACGGGAGGCAGCAGUCGGGAAUAUUGCGCAAUGGAGGAAACUCUGACGCAGUGACGCCGCGUGCAGGAAGAAGGUUUUCGGAUUGUAAACUGCUUUAGACAGGGAAGAAAAAAGACAGUACCUGUAGAAUAAGCUCCGGCUAACUACGUGCCAGCAGCCGCGGUAAUACGUAGGGAGCAAGCGUUAUCCGGAUUUAUUGGGUGUAAAGGGUGCGUAGACGGGAAAUUAAGUUAGUUGUGGAAUCCCUCGGCUCAACUGAGGAACUGCAACUAAAACUGAUUUUCUUGAGUACUGGAGAGGAAAGUGGAAUUCCUAGUGUAGCGGUGAAAUGCGUAGAUAUUAGGAGGAACACCAGUGGCGAAGGCGAC
rnacentral:rRNA from 1 species